rnacentral:rRNA from 1 species
GGGGAAUAUUGCGCAAUGGGGGAAACCCUGACGCAGCAAUACCGCGUGAGUGAAGAAGGUUUUCGGAUCGUAAAGCUCUGUUAUUGGGGAAGAAAAAAAGACGGUACCUGACUAAGAAGCACCGGCUAACUUCGUGCCAGCAGCCGCGGUAAUACGAAGGGUGCAAGCGUUAAUCGGAAUUACUGGGCGUAAAGCGCGCGUAGGUGGUUCGUUAAGUUGGAUGUGAAAGCCCCGGGCUCAACCUGGGAACUGCAUCCAAAACUGGCGAGCUAGAGUAUGGCAGAGGGUGGUGGAAUUUCCUGUGUAGCGGUGAAAUGCGUAGAUAUAGGAAGGAACACCAGUGGCGAAGGCGACCACCUGGGCUAAUACUGACACUGAGGUGCGAAAGCGUGGGGAGCAAACA